rnacentral:rRNA from 1 species
GACGAACGCUGGCGGCGUGCUUAACACAUGCAAGUCGAACGGAAAGGCCUGCUUUCCCUUGUGGAUUGCGGGUACUCGAGUGGCGAACGGGUGAGUAACACGUGAGUGAUCUACCCCCAACUUGGGUAUAAGCCUGGGAAACUGGGUCUAAUUCCCGAUAGGACUGCAGGGUGGUGCCUGUGGUGGAAAACGAUUUUCUAGUGGUUGGGGAUGAGCUCGCGGCCUAUCAGCUUGUUGGUGGGGUAAUGGCCUACCAAGGCGGCGACGGGUAGCCGGCCUGAGAGGGUGGACGGCCACAUUGGGACUGAGAUACGGCCCAGACUCCUACGGGAGGCAGCAGUGGGGAAUAUUGCACAAUGGGCGGAAGCCUGAUGCAGCGACGCCGCGUGGGGGAUGACGGCCUUCGGGUUGUAAACUCCUUUCGACCGCGAGGAAGCCACCUGGUUGGAAGGGUGGUGACGGUAGUGGUAGAAGAAGCACCGGCUAACUACGUG